rnacentral:lncRNA from 1 species
UAAAGAGACUUAACUCAUGAAGACAAACUGAAGACAAACCAAGGGAAGCAUGAAUAAAUAGAUUUGUAAAAUAAAGCCACUGGGACUAGUCUGGUAAAAUGAAUGUUGAGACAAAAGAAGGCAAAUUAACAGUUCGGUAGUAAAGAACGAGUUACUCAAUGGCAUAGUCUACAUGAUAUUAAUCUGUAAUUAUAGGUUUUAAUAUGAUAUCUCACAGAAUAACCUAAACUGGCAGAGGCCAAAUUAGAAUAACAAGAGUUGAUUAAUGAAUAGUCUCCAUGAAAUUUUUAUAUUGUAAACUAAUUGAAUAUAAGAGCAUGUUGGGUAAAAUUGAUUUCCUUUCUUUGAACUUCUGAGCAAUGAUUUCAUGUGCCAGUCAUUUUAAAUAUAUCGGACUUUUUGAUUCUUCACUCACUUUUUCAUGUGUCUAAUCUUCAUCUGCUCUGUAAACUCCAUGAAGGCAGAUACUAUAUUUAAUAGUUCUUUUGCACCUAGCAGAAGAGGAAAUCAGUAAUACCUUUAAAAUCUCUGUUUUCAGCACAUAGUUUCACUCAAAAUAUUUUAUUAUUUUUUAAUCAGAGUGAUUCACUAAGGAAAACUAAAGUGACUAAGCCUAUCAUCAGUUCUUCUAAAAUAUGUCUCAUAAAUGAGGUGACCAUAUAGUCUGGUCUCCUUGAGACUGCUCCUUUAUUUUUGUCUGUUAUACAGGGUAGUUAUUAAUAGCUUUUCCUUUCACUCUUAAAAUAUCUAGGUUUAGAUAAAUUAUUUUGUUCAUCCUACCAUAGUUCAUGAUAUCAGAGUCUGAAAUAAUCAAUGAGUCUGACUGACUUUGCAUUCCAAAUGGGUAUCUAUGGGACCUAGAUUAUCCAAUUUUAAAAAAAAGAAGAAAGAAUAUAUAUUUUAGUUAAGGCUUAUGAACUCAUUUGAUAGACUAUUUUAAUAACAUAAAAUGAAAAAAAAAAACAAAAAGUACAGAACUGUAAAUAGAAUACUUGCAGUAAUAUUCCCCCAUUUGUCUCAUUGAAUGUGAUAAAAAAAAUGACUUUAUCAAAAUUCUUUUUUUUUUUUUUGGCUUUUUAGGGAAGCACCCAUGGUAUAUGGAGGUUCGCAGGCUAGGGGUAGAAUCGGAGCUGUAGCCGCUGGCCUAUGCCACAGCCACAGCAAUACCAGAACUGAGCCACAUCUGCAACCUACACCACAACCUCAGGGCAACACCAGAUCCUUAACCCACUGAGUGAGGCCAGAGAUCGAGCCUGCAUCCUCAUAGUUUGCAUCAAAACAAAAUUUAAAUAUGUAACUCAAGAAAUACAAUGUAUUAAUUUCUAAACUCUGUGAAGUUAGCCUAAAAAUGCUUAAGAAAUGAUUUUGUCUUUCAUUUGCUUGAGUUUUAUAGAUUAGAAAGUAUGUAAUAAGUAAAAUACUACAAAAUAAGCAUAGAUCAGCUCAGGGGACUGAGAAAUUUAAUCUAUAAUUUUUUUUCAUUUGCACAUAAAUGUUCAUAAUCUCUUUGCAAACGCUGAAAGCGAAUCUGCACAAUAAUAAUGGUUAACACUGAGAAUUAUUCAGUUUUAGAGCCAGACCACUUUUAAACUUUAGGUCUGUCCUCAAGGCUAAGUAUAAUUAUCCCAACUCCUUAUGCCCAUUGUUUGUCUUAUCCAUAAUGAGUUCUACAACCUCUUUUAUAGUAUUUCAUAAUUAUCUUUAUUUCAGAAUAUGCAUUUUAAAAUAUUUUAAUGGUUUACCAUUAAAUGGACAAUAAGCAUAUGUAUUAUUUUCCAGUACACAAUAUUUUACUGUAAUACUGCACAAUUUUUAACAUCCUUCUUUUGAUGUUUCAGAAAUAUUUUUCUCUCUGAGUGAAGAGUUAAUGACUGAGCAGGAUUUUAAAGCUCCUUUAUUUCUUUUUUUUCUUCUUUCUUUGUCUUUUUGUUUUUUAGGGCCACACCUGCAGCAUAUGGAGGUUCCCAAGCUAGGGGUCCAACUGCAGCUGUAGUUGUCGGCCUACACCACAGCCACAGCAACGUGGGGGCUCCGAGCUGUGUCUGUGACCUACACCACAGUUCACAGCAAUGCCGGAUCCUUAACCCACUGAGCCAAGCCAGGGAUCGAACCAGCAUUCUCUGGGAUGCUAGUUGGGUUUGCUAACUUCUGAGCCACGACGGGAACUCCAAAGCUCCUUUAUUUUUUUGAGCUUUUCUCUCUCUCUCUCUCUCUCACACACACACACACACAAACACAAAUGAGGUGAAUAAAUAAAGCUAUGCUUAAAAUAGUUAACUACAUGCCUAGAUUUAAAGGCUGAUGGCCCAGCUGUUAGUACCAACAAAAAUCCCAGGAAAGCUAUAUGUAGCAUUAUCAGAUUGUGGUCAUGGAAAAGCCAAGCAAUACAAUUGCAUGGUGCUUUUCACUCUGUAGACAGAUGUAGGGCAUGCUCAAAAAUCAGAAAGCACAUUCCUGAGCCUAUGGGUUUAUCACCUUAAAAAAUUUAU